UUAAAGUAGUAAUAGUUAUGUUCUUGAAACUUAAAAAAUUUGGCGGUAUUUUAGUCUAUUCAGAGGAACCUGUCCUGUAAUUGAUAAUCCACGUUGGACCUCACUUAAGUUUGUUAAUCAGUUUGUAUACCGUCGUUAUAAGAAUAUUUUAUUAGAAUAAUAAUUUUCUAGAAUUUUUAUAAAAAUUUAUAUCAGAUCAAGGUGCAGCUAAUGUUUAAGUAGAGAUGGGUUACAAUAAAUAUAUUUAUAUGGAAUAAUUUUUGAAAUAGAAUUACGAAGGUGGAUUUGAAUGUAAAAUUAUAAAGAUUAAUAAUUUGAUUUUAGCU
rnacentral:rRNA from 1 species